GGUCCUAUGGUGCAGUGGUUAGCAUGGUGCUCUUAUACAAUCUUGUCUUGCGUGAGAUAUGCAUAGGUCGUGGGUUCAAUCCCCACUAGGACCA